rnacentral:sRNA from 1 species
GCCAGGCGUGGUGGUGCACGCCUGUAAUCCCAGUGGCUUGGGGGACUGAAACAGGAGGAUUGUGAGUUCAAAGCCAGCCUCAGCAAUUUAGUGAAUCCCUAAGUAACUCAGUGAGACCCUGUCUCUA